GUGGGUCGCUUGAUGCCCUUCCACCUCCUCCUUACCUUGAUGACCCUACUAAUUCGUACCCUAGAGCACAUCAUCUCUUCUUCUCCACGCUCCACACAACAGCAAUCUUCUCUUCUCAGCGACGGGUGACGACGGAUUAGGAUUUCAUGGUGGCUUCCCUCACCAGUGGACUGGUCAUUACUCGGCAAGAUAGGGAGUGAGAAAGAACAGACAGUUUGUCAUCACUGCUGCUUCUAACACACCCCCCCUUUCCAGCACUGCCUUGUGCCGCCCGGAUCCCAUCCUUGCCGCCGUUCCCACUUCGGGAGACGAACGCGCGGAAAGAAGACUCUCCUUGUAGAGGAAAAAAAUAUCUGGAGUCGAGGCCGCUGCAACAGAGGAAUCAAAAAGGUGAUGAUGCUUGAUGCACAUAGACGAUGCCAAGUCUCUUUCACAGCUUUUCUGAGGUCGUUGCAACACAAUGAGGAUUAGAGUAUUCUCUUUGAAGGUAUCAAGAAAAUUAAACGUUAUGUACAAAGAGAUUAAAUACUUCUGAUCAUAACAGAUCAAAAUGGUGGCGCGCCGAUCUGUUCAAAUGGUAGCACUUCACUGAUGUUGGCACAGCUACCCUUAUACGGGCUUUGGAUUGGACUGACUUCAGCUCUUCAGAGUGACCGAGUACUACAUUACAUACAUGGGUGUGGGCCUCCCCUGCGGAUCCUUGCUACUACAAGGAAUGAAAAUUGCAGGCAGACAAACACUUGAUGGAACAGGUUGGCUUGAGAAAAGAUGGACAUGCCCGUAUGUCCUUUUAAUUUGUGGGAGGAGGCAGUGAAUGAGAGGACCGUGAAGCUUACAGAGGCUAUGGAAUCUAUGGUGAUCUGAUGUCACAGAGCAGCGUCUGAGCUCUUGAUCACUUGAGUAAACAGCCGUUAAAAAUUAGUAAACUGUGAGUGCUACCUGCACUAUCCAACUAUUACAAUGAACUCUGGUGUUCAGUCCAUCCUUGUGGUGUUGUAAUUUGUAAUUAGUUCUUGGAUCGGUUAUUUUAGAUGGACUACACCAUUAUGUACUAAUUUUCCCUAAACCAAGUUGUGAUAUUUUCUCA